rnacentral:lncRNA from 1 species
GUUUGGAAAGGGUCUCCACCCUUUCCAAAGGGUGGAGUAGACAAUUAGAGAACUCCUCCCAGAUGAUCCAUGUAAGGAGUGCCUCCUUGGGUAGCUAGCUCAUCCACUGAAAUCCUCUGGACUAUGCUUUCUGCCCUCGCCACCACACUUACUCUCCCUGCUUUCACCUUGCAACCCCAACCCUCUUCAAUAUUUUUAUAUGUUAUCUUCCCCCAUUAGGUUGUGAGCUUCUUUUUUUGGGGGGAGGUUCCCAAGUUUAUUGGAAAGAAGGCAAAAGUAAAUAUUAGACAGCUCCUCCCAUCCCAACUGUGGGCUGGGUAACUUGCAGGACAAACUGCCAAAGUCUGGGAGUUUCAACAUUUCUUUGGCAUUAGGUCCAUUUCAAUGGUUUCCUGAUCCAAAGCAGAGCCCUCAGGGACAUAGUUUUCCCUCUUUUCUCUUUUUUCUUACAGUUUAGAUGGAGAUACCUCUCACAGGGCCUCUCUGUAUCUGCUUCAUCAGAUGAGUAACAUAUCCCGCCAUCUUAUUGUGGAACUUCUUGCUGGGGAUGAUGGUGAUCCUCUGGCACACGGGCUUGUUGGUGCAGAAGUUGUUGUCCAGAUAGGCCAAGUUGCUGAAUAGUUGAAGCCCAAAUAGGUGACAAAUUAAGGUAAAAGAAUUCAC